GUGCUGCAUGGCUGUCGUCAGCUCGUGUUGUGAAAUGUUGGGUUAAGUCCCGCAACGAGCGCAACCCUUAUCCUUUGUUGCCAGCGAUUCGGUCGGGAACUCAAAGGAGACUGCCGGUGAUAAACCGGAGGAAGGUGGGGAUGACGUCAAGUCAUCAUGGCCCUUACGAGUAGGGCUACACACGUGCUACAAUGGCGCAUACAAAGAGAAGCGACCUCGCGAGAGCAAGCGGACCUCACAAAGUGCGUCGUAGUCCGGAUCGGAGUCUGCAACUCGACUCCGUGAAGUCGGAAUCGCUAGUAAUCGUGGAUCAGAAUGCCACGGUG
rnacentral:rRNA from 1 species